UUAGGGGGAUGUGAAAGCCCCGGGCUCAAUCUGCGCAGGGUCAUUGGAACUGGUUACCUGAGUGCAGUAAGAGGGCGAGAGGAAUUUCACGUGUAGCCGCUGAAAUGUGUAGAGAUGUGAGGAACCACCAGUGGCGAAGGGGACUAUCCCGGUGUGGUUACUGACCGGUGAGGAGAGAAAGCGUGGGGGCGAACACGAUUAGAUACCCUGGUAGUCCACGCUGUAAACGAUGAGUGCUAAGUGUUAGGGGGCUUCCGCCCUUUAGUCGGCAGAUAACCCAUUAAGCACUCCCCCUGGGGAGUACGGUCGCAGGAUUGAAACUCAAAGGAUUUGAGGGGGGCCCGCCAAACCGGUGGACCAUGUGGUUUAAUUUGAAGCAACGGGAAGAACCUUACCAGGUUUUGACAUCUUUGACAAUCCUAGAGAUAGGAGGUCCCCUUCGGGGGCAGAGUGACAGGUGGUGCAUGGUUUUUGUCAGCUCGUGUCGUGAGAUGUUGGGUUAAGUCCCGCAACGAGCGCAACCCUUGAUUUUAGUUGCCAGCCUUCAGUUGGCAAUUUAAGGUGACUGCCGGUGACAAACCGGAGGAAGGUGGGGAUGACGUCAAAUCAUCAUGCCCCUUAUGACCUGGGGUACAACGUGGUACAAUGGGCAGAACAAAGGGCAGCGAAACCGCGAGGUUAAGCCAAUCCCACAAAUUUGUUUUCAGUUCGGAUUGCCGUUUGCAAAUGAAUGCGUGAAGCUGGAAUUGGUUGUAAUUGCGGAUCAGCAUGCCGCGGUGAAUACGUUCCCGGGCCUUGUACACCCCGCCCGUCACCCCCCGAGAGUUUGUAACACCCGAAGUCGGUGAGGUAACCUCUAGGAGCCAGCCGCCGAAGUGAACAGAGG
rnacentral:rRNA from 2 species